ACUCACCAGGGCGCGGUUGAACCUCUCCUCCAGCUCUCCGGCCGCGGGCAUCGGCUGCUUGGGAGGCGCGGGCUGCUUGGGGGGCGGCGCGGCGGGGCCCGCGGGCUGCUCGGCGCUGCCGGCCGCGUUGCCCAUGGUGGUCCCCACCCAGCCGGCCAGGCGCCUCCAGCCUCGGAAAUCCAGCUUUCCGGGGGACGGGGACGAGGCUCCCGGCCCGGGCGGGGGCGAGGGGGCAGCGGCUGGCGGUGGCGGCGGGGGUCUCGGCAGCGGGGGGCGCUCGGCUCAGCGGCGCGCAGGGGCCGGAGCGCGGCGUCCCAUCGGGGCGGCCCCGUCCGUGGGACCGGGCGGCGAGCUGCAGGGUUGGGGGAGGAAGUCAGGCUGCAGGCCGCCGGGGCCAGAGGGCUGGGCCGGGGGCAGGAAGCUGCGGCGCUGGCUCCCCCCUCGGCGAUUUUCGAACUUCUGCUGUCGCUCCCCGUGCGCGCAAACCGCAGUUCGCCGCCGCCGCCGCCGGGCACCCAGCCCCAGGGGGGCGGGCUGGAGGGAGGGGGCGGGCGCUGGCCGGGGGACCCCCGCAACCAUGGCGGGCGGGGAGUGGGCUGCCGAGCCGCUUCACCUGCCGCAGAGGGGGCGGCCGGCGCCGCUUCACCUGCCGGAGCGGGAGGCCACCGAGGCGAGGCCGAGGCGGCGGCGCGCUCGGCGGCGCCUCCGGGUCCUAGAACCGCAUCCUCCCGCUCGCCUCGGGCGAGGGAUUGGCCGGGUCUGGGUGAAGGGGAUCACGGCCUGGGGAUUGGAGGGGCACAUCUUCUCCGCACCGAGGAUCUCAGCGACUGCGAGCACGGCUCGGAGACCCACGGUGGUGCAGCGUUGGGGCGCCAGGGCUGCGUUCCCGUCUCGCGUCCCGGACUGAGAAGGUGGGAACCCCCUUCCAGGCCCCCCACCUUUUAUUUCUCUCCUCCCCUGCUUAGCCCAGAGACGAGCUGAGGACGAGGGGGAGCCAUCUCCAAACAGGAACUCCUAAACAGGGUGGGGGGCGCGGACGCAGGCCAGUGGAGACCCCCGCCACCUGUCCCACCUCGACCAACCGUGCGCCUGUGCAGGGCACCCCUACAGGUUUUAGAAUGGGGGCACCUAUGGAAUAUGGCAGGCUGCGAGAAGCUGGGCCCGCCAAGGUGGUCCCAAGGAGGAGUGGGGGGUUGCGGAAAGGAGGAUGAGAGCCAGCCACAAGGCUGGAAAAGGAGUGGGCACCGCAGAGGAGGGAAAAAGAAUCUUGACACUGUCACCGCCAGGGAUCUAGGGGGGCCUCUUACCUUGGAGAAUAACAAUCUCUGAUGUCUGCUAAUUACAGAAAUACUUUCAGAGCUCUUUCAUUCAUCCUGACAAUGGCCAGAGAAGGUAGGUAUUGGUAGCCUUAUUUUAGAGAUGGGGAAACUGAGGCUGAGAGUAGGUAAGUAAGCUGUCCAAGGGCACUCAGCUAACAAAGGACAGAAGCAAGCCUCCUCACUGUCUACCUCCAAAACCUACACUGGCUUGGAGUUGCUGUCCUGGCCCUCCACUGCCCAUCUCAUGUAGGACGGGAGAGUAUGGGGGGCUGGGGUCCCAUCUAUAGCCUGAAUUUGAGACUUUCAGUUGCUCCUCUCAUUCCCCAUUUAAUUUGUGGGGAUCCCCAACUGACCCCUCCCUACACUUCCAGGGCACUGAGGAGGGAGGGCCCGCUGAAGGAGCCCCGAAUUAUCUCUAGGCCAGGUCAGGAGCCAUUAGUGUCCCCUCCCCUGACAGCAUCCUCCUCCUUCUGCCCUCACAUUCAGAGCCACUGACAAGACUUUAAGCAAGAGACGGAGAGUUAACAUCUAAUCUGGAGGAAGACCCUGGAAGGAGCCAGCCCCUUCCCCCAGGCUGACCUGGUUUAAGCCUUUCUUCUGCCAAGGUCACCAGCACCCCAGAUGGGUGAGAGAUGUGAUCACUGGUUUCGUGGCCUGACCAAGGACCUCCAAGAUUCUGUGGCAGAUGAGAAAUGCCUUGGUCCUUGGGCUGCUUGCAGCCUAGCGAGGGACAGACUUUUAACCUCUCUAGGAGAGUGGCUGCUUCAAGUCAUCCUAUGGGACCAGCUGUUCAUGCUUCCUCUUGCCCAGAACUACUUCUGUGAGAGGAAAAGAGAAGGGUAGGAGCGUGCCCUGCAGCUGGAAACCCAAGCCAGGCGGGGAGCCACGAAUGCAGUAGUUAUCAGACUGUAUCUUCAAUCCUGGGGGCUUCUCAAGCCAUUGCCAGCCACUCUUCA
rnacentral:lncRNA from 1 species